CAGCCGUAAACAAUGUGCGUUAGGUGUGUCGGUAACCACGCGUUACUGAUGCGCCGAAGAGAAAUCGUGAAACGCACCACCUGGGAAAUACGGUCGCAAGGCUGAAACUUAAAGGAAUUGGCGGGGGAGCACCGCAACGGGAGGAGCGUGCGGUUUAAUUGGAUUCAACACCGUAAACUCACCAGGGAAGACUGUUACAUGAAAGCCGAGAUGAAGACUCUGCUAGAUUUUCAGAGAGGAGGUGCAUGGCGUCAGUGACU
rnacentral:rRNA from 1 species